UUAUGCCUACGGGGGGCAGCAGUGGGGAAUAUUGCACAAUGGGGGGAACCCUGAUGCAGCGACGCCGCGUGGGCGAGGAAGUAUUUCGGUAUGUAAAGCCCUAUCGGCAGGGAAGAAGAAAUGACGGUACCUGAAUAAGAAGCACCGGCUAAAUACGCGCCAGCAGCCGCGGGAAUACGUAUGGUGCAAGCGUUAUCCGGAUUUACUGGGCGUAAAGGGAGCGCAGGCGGCGCGCCAAGGCUGAUGUGAAACCCCGGGG
rnacentral:rRNA from 1 species